UACAGAGGGUGCAAGCGUUGUUCGGAAUUAUUGGGCGUAAAGCGCGUGUAGGCGGCUUUGCAAGUCGGGUGUGAAAUCCCUCAGCUUAACUGAGGAAGUGCGCCCGAAACUGCAGAGCUUGAAUACCGGAGAGGAUGGCGGAAUUCCCCAAGUAGAGGUGAAGUUCGUAGAUAUGGGGAGGAACACCGGUGGCGAAGGCGGCCAUCUGGACGGAUAUUGACGCUGAGACGCGAAAGCGUGGGUAGCAAACAGG
rnacentral:rRNA from 1 species